UUAAGCAUAUAAGUAAGCGGAGGAAAAGGAACUAAACAGGAUUCCCUUAGUAAUGGCGAACGAACAGGGAUCAGCUUGGGUUGGAAACCGGAGCUUCUGCCUUGGAUUGUGGCCUUUAGACAUACUACCAACGGCGGCGCGAGCGUAAGCCUCUUGGAACAGAGCGUCUACGUGGGUGAGAAUCCUGUGUUUCGCUUGAUGCCCGCCGUGCACGGUACUUGCUCUCAGAGUCACGCUCCUCGGAAUUGGAGCGUAAAUUGGGUGGUAAAUUUCAUCUAAAGCUAAAUACAGGCUCGAGACCGAUAGCAAACAAGUACCAUGAGGGAAAGAUGAAAAGGACUUUGAAAAGAGAGUUAAAAGUGCUUGAAAUCGCUGAACUGGAAGCGAAUGGAACUAGUGCUCUGGUUGAGAUUGCUGUACAUGGCUGCGACAUCUGGGCUCUGGAACGCAAGUCCUUUGUCUGGCUUGAAGUAGUCGCUUGCAAUGUGUCUCAGCUUGAACAUCAACUUCUAUGCAUACGUGAGGAUGGCCCUUGGCUCAUACUGUGUUGCUGUGGCGAUACUCUUGUGCUUCUGGGGAUUCAGGUGUGUGUGGAUUGUUGAUCAAUUAGUUCCAUUCGACCGUCUUGAAACACGGACCAAGGAG
rnacentral:rRNA from 1 species